UACAGAGGUCUCAAGCGUUGUUCGGAUUUAUUGGGCGUAAAGAGCUCGUAGGCGGCUCGUUGCGUCGGCUGUGAAAACCCGCAGCUCAACUGUGGGCUUGCAGCCGAUACGGGCGGGCUGGAGUUCGGUAGGGGAGACUGGAAUUCCUGGUGUAGCGGUGAAAUGCGCAGAUAUCAGGAGGAACACCGGUGGCGAAGGCGGGUCUCUGGGCCGAUACUGACGCUGAGGAGCGAAAGCGUGGGGAGCGAACAGG
rnacentral:rRNA from 1 species